GAACGCUGGCGGCGUGCUUAACACAUGCAAGUCGAACGAUGAAGCCNAGCUUGCUGGGUGGAUUAGUGGCGAACGGGUGAGUAACACGUGAGUAACCUACCCUUGACUCUGGGAUAAGCCUGGGAAACUGGGUCUAAUACUGGAUAUGACUUCUCACCGCAUGGUGGGGGGUGGAAAGAUUUAUUGGUCUUGGAUGGACUCGCGGCCUAUCAGCUUGUUGGUGAGGUAAUGGCUCACCAAGGCGACGACGGGUAGCCGGCCUGAGAGGGUGACCGGCCACACUGGGACUGAGACACGGCCCAGACUCCUACGGGAGGCAGCAGUGGGGAAUAUUGCACAAUGGGCGCAAGCCUGAUGCAGCGACGCCGCGUGAGGGAUGACGGCCUUCGGGUUGUAAACCUCUUUCAGUAGGGAAGAAGCGAAAGUGACGGUACCUGCAGAAGAAGCGCCGGCUAACUACGUGCCAGCAGCCGCGGUAAUACGUAGGGCGCGAGCGUUAUCCGGAAUUAUUGGGCGUAAAGAGCUCGUAGGCGGUUUGUCGCGUCUGCCGUGAAAGUCCGGGGCUUAACCCCGGAUCUGCGGUGGGUACGGGCAGACUAG
rnacentral:rRNA from 1 species